AUCCUGGCUCAGGACGAACGCUGGCGGCGUGCUUAACACAUGCAAGUCGAACGAUGAUGCCCAGCUUGCUGGGCGGAUUAGUGGCGAACGGGUGAGUAAUACGUGAGUAACCUGCCCUUGACUCUGGGAUAAGCCUGGGAAACUGGGUCUAAUACUGGAUACUACCUCUUACCGCUGGGUGGUGGAAAGGGUUUUACUGGUUUUGGAUGGGCUCACGGCCUAUCAGCUUGUUGGUGGGGUAAUGGCUCACCAAGCCGACGACGGGUAGCCGGCCUGAGAGGGUGACCGGCCACACUGGGACUGAGACACGGCCCAGACUCCUACGGGAGGCAGCAGUGGGGAAUAUUGCACAAUGGGCGGAAGCCUGAUGCAGCGACGCCGCGUGAGGGAUGACGGCCUUCGGGUUGUAAACCUCUUUCAGUAGGGAAGAAGCGAGAGUGACGGUACCUGAGAAGAAGCGCCGGCUAACUACGUGCCAGCAGCCGCGGUAAUACGUAGGGCGCAAGCGUUGUCCGGAUAUUGGGCGUAAAGAGCUCGUAGGCGGUUUGUCGCGUCUGCUGUGAAAGCCCGGGGCUUAACCCCGGGUCUGCAGUGGGUACGGGCAGACUAGAGUGCAGUAGGGGAGACUGGAAUUCCUGGUGUAGCGGUGAAAUGCGCAGAUAUCAGGAGGAACACCGAUGGCGAAGGCAGGUCUCUGGGCUGUUACUGACGCUGAGGAGCGAAAGCAUGGGGAGCGAACAGGAUUAGAUACCCUGGUAGUCCAUGCCGUAAACGUUGGGCACUAGGUGUGGGGGACAUUCCACGUUUUCCGCGCCGUAGCUAACGCAUUAAGUGCCCCGCCUGGGGAGUACGGCCGCAAGGCGGGGCUGGUGGACAGGUGGUGCAUGGUUGUCGUCAGCUCGUGUCGUGAGAUGUUGGGUUAAGUCCCGCAACGAGCGCAACCCUCGUUCUAUGUUGCCAGCACGUGAUGGUGGGGACUCAUAGGAGACUGCCGGGGUCAACUCGGAGGAAGGUGGGGAUGACGUCAAAUCAUCAUGCCCCUUAUGUCUUGGGCUUCACGCAUGCUACAAUGGCCGGUACAAAGGGUUGCGAUACUGUGAGGUGGAGCUAAUCCCAAAAAGCCGGUCUCAGUUCGGAUUGAGGUCUGCAACUCGACCUCAUGAAGUCGGAGUCGCUAGUAAUCGCAGAUCAGCAACGCUGCGGUGAAUACGUUCCCGGGCCUUGUACACACCGCCCGUCAAGUCACGAAAGUUGGUAACACCCGAAGCCGGUGGCCUAACCCCUUGUGGGAGGGAGCCGUCGAAGGUGGGACUGGCGAUUGGGACUAAGUCGUAACAAGGUAGCCGU
rnacentral:rRNA from 1 species